rnacentral:rRNA from 1 species
GUACGGGAGGCAGCAGUGGGGAAUUUUGGACAAUGGGGGCAACCCUGAUCCAGCCAUGCCGCGUGAGUGAAGAAGGCCUUCGGGUUGUAAAGCUCUUUCAGCUGGAAAGAAAACGUACUUAUUAAUACUAGGUGCGGAUGACGGUACCAGCAGAAGAAGCACCGGCUAACUACGUGCCAGCAGCCGCGGUAAUACGUAGGGUGCGAGCGUUAAUCGGAAUUACUGGGCGUAAAGCGUGCGCAGGCGGCUUUUUAAGCCAGAUGUGAAAUCCCCGGGCUUAACCUGGGAACUGCAUUUGGAACUGGAAGGCUAGAGUGUAGCAGAGGGGGGUAGAAUUCCACGUGUAGCAGUGAAAUGCGUAGAGAUGUGGAGGAAUACCGAUGGCGAAGGCAGCCCCCUGGGCUAACACUGACGCUCAUGCACGAAAGCGUGGGGAGCAAACAGGAUUAGAUACCCUGGUAGC